rnacentral:rRNA from 1 species
GACGAACGCUGGCGGCGUGCUUAACACAUGCAAGUCGAGCGGUAGAGGGAGGGGCUUCGGCCUUUUGUACACGAGCGGCGAACGGGUGAGUAACACGUGGGUGAUCUGCCUCGCACUCUGGGAUAAGCCUGGGAAACUGGGUCUAAUACCGGAUACGAAUGCAUGUUGAAAGGGGGGGAUCUUUAGACCUCCUGGUGCGAGAUGGGCCCGCGGCCUAUCAGCUUGUUGGUGGGGUAACGGCCCACCAAGGCGACGACGGGUAGCCGGCCUGAGAGGGCGAACGGCCACACUGGGACUGAGACACGGCCCAGACUCCUACGGGAGGCAGCAGUGGGGAAUAUUGCACAAUGGGCGAAAGCCUGAUGCAGCGACGCCGCGUGAGGGACGACGGCCUUCGGGUUGUAAACCUCUUUCGACAGGGACGAAGGCCGUAAAGUUAAUACGGUUGCUGAUUGACGGUACCUGUAUAAGAAGCACCGGCCAACUACGUGCCAGCAGCCGCGGUAAUACGUAGGGUGCGAGCGUCCGGAAUUACUGGGCGUAAAGAGCUUGUAGGCGGUUCGUCGCGUCGAUCGUGAAAACUUGCAGCUCAACUGCGAGCUUGCGGUCGAUACGGGCGGACUAGAGUACUUCAGGGGAGACUGGAAUUCCUGGUGUAGCGGUGAAAUGCGCAGAUAUCAGGAGGAACACCGGUGGCGAAGGCGGGUCUCUGGGAAGUAACUGACGCUGAGAUGCGAAAGCGUGGGUAGCGAACAGGAUUAGAUACCCUGGUAGUCCACGCCGUAAACGGUGGGUACUAGGUGUGGGUUUCUUCCAGGGAUCCGUGCCGUAGCUAACGCAUUAAGUACCCCGCCUGGGGAGUACGGCCGCAAGGCUAAAACUCAAAGGAAUUGACGGGGGCCCGCACAAGCGGCGGAGCAUGUGGAUUAAUUCGAUGCAACGCGAAGAACCUUACCUGGGUUUGACAUAACCGGAAAGCCGUAGAGAUACGGCCCUGCCCUUGGGAAUCGGUGUACAGGUGGUGCAUGGCUGUCGUCAGCUCGUGUCGUGAGAUGUUGGGUUAAGUCCCGCAACGAGCGCAACCCUCAUCUUAUGUUGCCAGCGCGUAAUGCGGGGACUCGUGAGAGACUGCCGGGGUCAACUCGGAGGAAGGUGGGGACGACGUCAAGUCAUCAUGCCCCUUAUGUCCAGGCUUCACACAUGCUACAAUGGCCGGUACAGAGGGCUGCGAUACCGUGAGUGGCGAAUCCCUUAAAGCCGGUCUCAGUCGAUCGGGGUCUGCACUCGACCCCGUGAAGUUGGAGUCGCUAGUAAUCGCAGAUCACAACGCUGCGGUGAAUACGUUCCCGGGCCUUGUACA